rnacentral:rRNA from 1 species
GAUGAACGCUAGCUACAGGCUUAACACAUGCAAGUCGAGGGGAAACGACAUCGAAAGCUUGCUUUUGAUGGGCGUCGACCGGCGCACGGGUGAGUAACGCGUAUCCAACCUGCCCAUCACUUGGGAAUAACCUUGCGAAAGUAAGACUAAUACCCAAUGAUAUCCCACGAAGGCAUCGGAAUGGGAUUAAAGAUUUAUCGGUGAUGGAUGGGGAUGCGUCUGAUUAGCUUGUUGGCGGGGUAACGGCCCACCAAGGCAACGAUCAGUAGGGGUUCUGAGAGGAAGGUCCCCCACAUUGGAACUGAGACACGGUCCAAACUCCUACGGGAGGCAGCAGUGAGGAAGAUAGGGCAAUGGGCGAGAGCCUGAACCAGCCAAGUAGCGUGCAGGAAGACGGCCCUAUGGGUGGUAAACUGCUUUUAUAAGGGAAUAAAGUGGGUCACGUGUGACUUUUUGCAUGUACCUUAUGAAUAAGGACCGGCUAAUUCCGUG